GGCCUUUUCAACUGUCAAAAUUUCCUUUUUUCAGAUUUAUGUUUCCCUUUUGUAUCGAGCAGUAGAUAGCUGCUUAGCCAAUACAACAGUUAGCCUGUUGUAGCAGCCCUGGAGGACGGGAGAACGGAUCUGGACUGGGAGGAUGCCGGGCCUUGCUGCUUACGCUGUCCAGGCUGGACCCUGAGCGGGACGAUGGUGGGGUUAAGCGGCCCGAUGUGCUGCUGCUCUGAAGUGAACUCCUCUCAACAGUUGAAAGUUAACAAAAUAAUUCAAAGGAAACAAAAUAGUUAGCUUGUUUGUCAUUGUUGCUAAUCAUAUCAGGCUGGUUAACCAGCAGCGACAAACUUCUGUUAACAAACAAACAAUAUGACAACAGCAACCAAAUGCAGUGGGACGUUAUGACAUGAAUACUUCAUCUCCAUGAAAGAAAGAAGACAUCAGAAAACUAAGAUAAAGCUGAAAGAUGUGUCCAGAAUGCCUUUAAAGGAGCCACCAGUGCACCCAGGGACCGGUGAGCAGCAUCCAGAGACCAGCACUCGUCCCCUGCCCGGAGUUUGAGGAGCGGUGAACUGAGGAGUUGAUGCGUUCAGAAGCCAAGGCCAAGACUUGGCCCUCUACAGGCCUCCAUCAUACAGACAACUGCCUCAAACAGGUGUAUGCACUCCUCCGGUGAACUCUUCGUGCUGCCAUGAUGGAACAUGAAACGCCCUCUCCAGCUGGAAGAACAAGUGCUGUGUGGGCUCCCUGAAGUGGUGCAAGCACUGGGUCAUUGGAGAGCCACAGCGUGUUUGGGAACAGAACAAGCUGUGUUAUUUCAGCACAGCCUGUUGGAUGAAGGGCCAUUUCACAGGCAUUUUGGAUUAAUCUUUAGCAGGAUCUCUCCAGGAUCAAACAAAAUUGGAUGUUUAACCUCACGUGUCGGAGAGCUGAGAGUUCUCUGAUAAUAAACCAGGAUAGAGAGGAUUGAAUCUGACCCACAUUGGGUUAAACAUCACAUAUUUCUAAAUGACCUGACUCCCACUGAAAGAUGGAAAUAUAGUUAUACUACAUAGUGUACCUAUCCUUACUCAGGUGAGUAUAAUCCAGCGUGAGGAGAAAUAAUUAAAUCUAUAAUAUUAUUACAAAAUGCAAAAAGAAGGCCCUCCAUUCAGUUUAUUUCUAGUCUGCUUUGUUAUUUUUGUUAGCCUGACAUCGCCAGACCAACAUGAGCUUGCAGUUCCCAGGCUAUAUUUUUGUUAAAAAUAAAACAUAUUUUGAGUAUACAGUACA